AUUGAACGCUGGCGGCGUGCUUAACACAUGCAAGUCGAGCGGUAACAGGCGUAGCAAUACGUGCUGACGAGCGGCGAACGGGUGAGUAAUGCUUCGGAAUCUUACUUGUAGUGGGGAAUAACCUGGGGAAACUCAGGCUAAUGCCGCAUACGACCAAUGGUUGAAAGCGGGGGAUCGCAAGACCUCGCGCUAUAAGAUGCGCCGAAGUCGGAUUAGCUAGUUGGUGGGGUAAAGGCCUACCAAGGCGACGAUCCGUAGCGGGUCUGAGAGGCCGACCAGCCACACUGGGACUGAGACACGGCCCAGACUCCUACGGGAGGCAGCAGUGGGGAAUAUUGGACAAUGGGGGCAACCCUGAUCCAGCGACGCCGCGUGUGUGAAGAAGGCCUGCGGGUUGUAAAGCACUUUUAGUGGGGACAAAAAGCCGAGGGCUAAUACCUUUCGGUCUUGAUUUAACCCAAAGAAAAAGCACCGGCUAACUCUGUGCCAGCAGCCGCAGUAACAC
rnacentral:rRNA from 1 species